rnacentral:rRNA from 1 species
AGUGAACGCUGGCGGUAGGCCUAACACAUGCAAGUCGAACGGCAGCACAGUAAGAGCUUGCUCUUACGGGUGGCGAGUGGCGGACGGGUGAGGAAUACAUCGGAAUCUACUUUUUCGUGGGGGAUAACGUAGGGAAACUUACGCUAAUACCGCAUACGACCUACGGGUGAAAGCAGGGGAUCUUCGGACCUUGCGCGAUUGAAUGAGCCGAUGUCGGAUUAGCUAGUUGGCGGGGUAAAGGCCCACCAAGGCGACGAUCCGUAGCUGGUCUGAGAGGAUGAUCAGCCACACUGGAACUGAGACACGGUCCAGACUCCUACGGGAGGCAGCAGUGGGGAAUAUUGGACAAUGGGCGCAAGCCUGAUCCAGCCAUACCGCGUGGGUGAAGAAGGCCUUCGGGUUGUAAAGCCCUUUUGUUGGGAAGGAAAAGCAGCAGGUUAAUACCCCGCUGUUCUGACGGUACCCAAAGAAUAAGCACCGGCUAACCUCGUG